UGUUGAUUGUGAAAUGCCAGUUGAAGCAUAUGUCCUGCGAGCUUAGGGGUGCUACAAGUUGACCACUGCAGCAGUAAAGAUGACUCUGAAGAAUGGCGUGGGUUGGUUCCUUUCAAAUGCACUUGAGCAGUGGUCUCCAACCACAGGGCCACAGAGCUGGAGCUGGAUCUACCAUGAAAGACUUGUGAAUCCAGGAAGAGAGACUGACUGGGCAACAUGUUAUUCAGGUGGGAACAUCCAGUUGCGGGAAAACAAGCUUAACACGCCCACUGAUUCUACAUUAUGCUCCUACCUCCCGGCAGCCUCUCCAGGCCCAGAACUUUCUCCAGUCAGCCUCUACAGACCAAGCUCAUGACUCACAAUGGCCUAUUUAGGCCCAUACCCUACGUCACGGCAGCCUCCGCAGAUGAGCCUACUGCCUCACAACAGCCUCCACAGGCACAGCUCCAUCGUUACAAUGGCCUCUUUAGACCCAGCUCCUGCCUCCCAGCCUUCUCUCCAGGCUCUGAACUUUCUCAGGUCUCCCUCUGUUGUCCAAGGCUGGAGUGUAGUAGUGCUAUCGCAGCUGACUGCAGCCUCAACCUUCCAGGCUGAAGCGAUCCUCCCACCUCAACCUCCCACGUGGCUGAGACUACAGGUGCUUGCCACUAUGCCCAACUAACAUUUGGAAUUUUCGUAUACGU
rnacentral:lncRNA from 10 species